AUUGAACGCUAGCGGCAUGCUUUACACAUGCAAGUCGAACGGCAGCGCGGGCUUCGGCCUGGCGGCGAGUGGCGAACGGGUGAGUAAUACAUCGGAACGUGCCCAGUAGUGGGGGAUAGCUCGGCGAAAGCCGGAUUAAUACCGCAUACGACCUGAGGGUGAAAGCGGGGGAUCUUCGGACCUCGCGCUAUUGGAGCGGCCGAUGGCAGAUUAGCUAGUUGGUGGGGUAAAGGCCUACCAAGGCGACGAUCUGUAGCUGGUCUGAGAGGACGACCAGCCACACUGGGACUGAGACACGGCCCAGACUCCUACGGGAGGCAGCAGUGGGGAAUUUUGGACAAUGGGCGAAAGCCUGAUCCAGCUAUGCCGCGUGUGUGAUGAAGGCCUUCGGGUUGUAAAGCACUUUUGGCGGGAACGAAAAGGACUGUGCCAAUACCACGGUUCGAUGACGGUACCCGCAGAAUAAGCACCGGCUAACUACGUG
rnacentral:rRNA from 1 species